CCUACGGGAGGCAGCAGUGGGGAAUAUUGCACAAUGGGGGAAACCCUGAUGCAGCAACGCCGCGUGAGUGAAGAAGUAUUUCGGUAUGUAAAGCUCUAUCAGCAGGGAAGAGAAUGACGGUACCUGACUAUGAAGCCACGGCUAACUACGUGCCAGCAGCCGCGGUACUACGGAGGGGGCAAGCGUUAUCCGGAUUUACUGGGUGUAAAGGGAGCGUAGACGGCUUGCCAAGUCUGAAGUGAAAGCCCGGGGCUUAACCCCGAAACGGCUAUUGAAACUGGCCGGCUGGAGUGCUGUAGAGGCAGGCGGAAUUCGUGGUGUAGCGGUGAAAUGCUUAGAUAUCAGGAGGAACACCGGUUGCGAAGGCGGCCUGCUGGACAGUAACUGACGUUGAGGCUCGAAAGCGUGGGUAGCAAACAGGAUUAGAUACCCCAGUAGUC
rnacentral:rRNA from 1 species